CCUACGGGUGGCAGCAGUGAGGAAUAUUGGUCAAUGGCCGCAGGGCUGAACCAGCCAAGUCGCGUGAGGGAUGACGGUCCUAUGGAUUGUAAACCUCUUUUGUCAGGGAGCAAAGGGCGCCACGUGUGCCUUUUUGCAUGUACUUUAUGAAUAAGGAUCGGCUAACUCCGUGCCAGCAGCCGCGGUAAUACGGAGGAUCCGAGCGUUAUCCGGCUUUAUUGGGUUUAAAGGGAGCGUAGAUGGGUUGUUAAGUCAGUUGUGAAAGUUUGCGGCUCAACCGUAAAAUUGCAAUUGAUACUGGCAGUCUUGAGUACAGUUGAGGUAGGCGGAAUUCGUGGUGUAGCGGUGAAAUGCUUAGAUAUCACGAAGAACCCCGAUUGCGAAGGCAGCUUACUAAACUGUGACUGACAUUGAUGCUCGAAAGUGUGGGUAUCAAACAGGAUUAGAUACCCGGGUAGUC
rnacentral:rRNA from 1 species